rnacentral:rRNA from 1 species
UGGGAACCUUCCCUAUGGUUCGGAAUAGCUCAGGGAAACUUGGGGUAAUACCGGAUAAGCCCUUCGGGGGAAAGAUUUAUCGCCAUUGGAUGGGCCCGCGUCGGAUUAGCUAGUUGGUGAGGUAACGGCUCACCAAGGCAACGAUCCGUAGCUGGUCUGAGAGGAUGAUCAGCCACACUGGGACUGAGACACGGCCCAGACUCCGUACGGGAGCAG